rnacentral:misc_RNA from 1 species
GAAAUGCGAUAAGUAAUGUGAAUUGCAGAAUUCAGUGAAUCAUCGAAUCUUUGAACGCACAUUGCGCCCGCCAGUAUUCUGGCGGGCAUGCCUGUUCGAGCGUCAUUUCAACCAUCAAGCCCCCGGCUUGUGUUGGGGACCUGCGGCUGCCCGCAGGCCCUGAAAAACAGUGGCGGGCUCGCUGUCACCCCGAGCGUAGUAGCAUACAUUCUCGCUCAGGGCGUGCUGCGGGUUCCGGCCGUUAAACGACCUUCAUAACCCAAGGUUGACCUCGGAUCAGGUAGGAAGACCCGCUAAACUUAAG